rnacentral:lncRNA from 1 species
UUCCUAGGGUUUCUGUCCUCCGGGAUUGGAAGUAGCUGCUGCAGGGAUGCGAUCCCAAACCACCCAAAGAACAUCCAGCCUGAGCCCAAUGCUCCCUUUACUUCCUGCCCCAGGCCCCCUUUACCUCCCGCCGCUGCAGGGCAGGUGCAGAGUCCACAGCAGCCCAGAGCGCGCUCUCCACGAGGUCUCAUGCCCAGGUUAUAAAGCNAAUCAUAAACAUGUGCAUUUGGGUGAUCAAGCAUGCCCAUAGGCCUCUCGGAAUGAGUCCCCAGGAGUGUGACCUUCACCACCUCUGGAAAAUCUGCAUGCUUUCUCUUCAAAGUUGCCAUGAUGUCUGCCCCAGCGCACAGGCGAGCCUGUCUCACCAAGUUCUCUGGCGUUCGAAUGGUCACCGCUUUCAGUGUUAGCUGUUCUUCUGGGU